UUUUACAUCCCCUCACCAAACCAAGAAAUUAAAAGCAGCAAAAACUAAAGGGCAAUAAAACAAAGAAAGCCAAUUACAGAUAUGAGGCGGGCCUGGGAAUGGAAUGGAAAGUACAGCAGAAGUUCUGGCAAUUGGUGCUCUCUCCAUAUCCAUUUAAAUCCUGGCUCUCUUAUCUGAAGACUUCUAAAAAUGACUGACCCUUAUGACACGGACACCACUCCCAUGAAUAAGAACUGGACUGAGAUUACCAACUCAUUUCACACAAACCACUACACAGCCAAACAGGUGAGUGGCUGAAGGAUCCACACAGCUUGGGGGCCCAUCUCAAGAACUGCCAUCCAACCCUGCUGCAGUGAAAAACUGCACUCUCUUUUACAUCUGGAUAUACCAUGGAUUAGGUAGUAGGAAGAGAAGACAACGAUGGCUCCUGAGGCAACACUAGCAAGGACCCAAACAGGAGAGGAGACAGAAGAUGGUUGAAUGUGGAAGCUGCAUGACGUGCCACAUCCUUGAGUGGGUAUCUGAUGGAACCUCCUAUGCAUGAAACGUUGCCUGAUAUAGCUCACGGCAGAGAUGAUCCAAAGAUAAAAAUAAGCAGCUGGAGACUAAUGAUCUGAAGAUACAAAAACAGGGGAGAAGAGCAGAGGGUACAGACAACUCAAUAUUUGCUGACACCAGAUCAACAAAGGAACCUGGAGGGAAAACUGCAAGAGGAGGAGAGUGAUCCAUGGUAGAAUGUGAUCACCAGACAAAGCAGAGGAAGAGACUGGCUAAUAUAGAUGGGGGAAAAAAAUUAGCUACAGGUUUGGUGCAUUGGAAAAAGAGGAGGAGAAACAGGCAGAUGGGGGGUAGGGCAGGGGAGAAAAGAAGGAAAACCAUUCCAUGCAGAAGAUACAAUGGAGAUAGCUAGGGACCGAUUCUAUGUAAAAAUGAGGAUAAUCCUGGCCGCUGCUUCCCACAACUCCCAUUGGCUGGGAACGGGGAAACGCUGUCACUGGGAGCUACAGGGGGCCAUAUCUGCAGACAAUCAACGUAAACAAAAUGUCUCGCGGCCCGCCAGCGGAUUACCCUGAUGGGCUGCGUGCCGAAGGUUGCCGACCCCUGAUCUAACCUCAGUAGUCAGACUUUGGAACAAAAUUAUGAAAGAAAGAAUAAUUAAAUCCAUAGAGAAAACAGAAGAAAGGAUAUAAUUUAACAUGGGUUUACCAAAUUGUGCCAGAUAAUUUGAUUUCCUUCUUUAAGCAAAUAACUGACUUUAGUGAAGAGAAAUUCAGUAGAACUAAUAUACAGAUUUUGACCUAAUACCACAUGGGAAAUUAUUGGUUAAAUUAGUGAAGAUGGGUAUCAGUACAAGCACCGUAAAGUGAAUAAGGAACUGGCUAA